CCCGGCCGGGCCCCGCGCCCCGAUCACCACGGCCGGCGCUCGGCUGCUUCCGGUGGGGCCUGCGCUCUCCGCGGCGGCUCGCGCGUUCUGCUCGCCGGCGGCCUCAUGCAGGCUGAGCGCGGGGCUAGGGGCGGCCGCGGGCGGCGGGGAGGCCGGGAGCGGCCCGGAGGGGACCGAGAGCCGGUCGGGGCAGCGACGGCGCUGGCGAGAGGAGGCUGCGGGGACGGAGGCGGCCGGCGGGGCCGAGGCCGGGGCUUCCGCCGAGGCCGAGGAGGUGGCGGCCUGCGAGGCGGCCGCUGGGAGCCUGGAGGCCGGGGCGGCGGAGCCAGCACUCGGGUGGAAGAAGACAGCGAUUCAGAGACCUAUGGAGAAGAGAAUGAUGAGCAAGGAAAUUUUUCUAGAAGAAAGAUUGUCUCCAACUGGGAUCGCUAUCAAGAUACUGAAAAGGAGGUCAAUGGUGAAAGUGGAGAAUCUCAGCGGGGCACAGACUUCAGUGUCCUCCUGAGCUCUGCAGAAGACAGUUCCAACCCCAGAGAAGCUGCCUCCUUUUUCCUCUGCUUGGGACCCUCGUCCAUGGACUCGAUACCACUUACAUUUAAGGGGACUCCUUUUCACAGUUCCGAUUUGCUGAGGAGAAAGAAUGGGAUGGUGAAACUUCAUGUCCAAAACAGAAUUCAGCACUCUACGUGGACAGUGAGUCACUGGUUCGAGCCCUUGAGCAGCUGCCUCUUGCAGUCCGGCUUAAUGUUGCUUCAGAAUUGAUCCAGACCACAAUUCCUUUAGAACUUCCACAGGUGAAACCAAGGAGAAACGAUGAUGGCAAGGAGCUGGGCAUGCAUUUAAGGGGACCCAUCUCUGAGCUCAGAUCUGCUGCUGGUGCUUGCCCCAGGUCUCUGGGCAGAGGCAGUCUAAGGCAAAGCCCUUUAGAAGGUUUGCAGAAAGCACCUACCCCAACACAGUCAGUGGCAGACCACCUGGAAGAAGAACUAGAUAUGUUGCUGCAUUUAGAUGCACCUGUGCAAGAGGAAGGCAAUAUCUCUCCAGACCAGACAUCUCGGGACCAGGAACCAGAAAAAGAUGGGCAGGUAGCCCAGGAGGAAACAGGUCCUGAAAAACCUUCUGUGACCAGAGAGAAGAAUGUGGAACCUGAGCAGCCAAGCACAUCGAAGAAUGUCACCGAGGAAGAGCUGGAGGACUGGCUGGACAGCAUGAUUUCCUGAAGCGGGGUCAAGGGGGAAGAGUGCCUGAAGCAAAUGCUGGUUGCCUUCUGUGUAAUGAGCCCGUCUUGUGAGGACGGGCUCGUUUACCAGCUACCCCAUGCUAACACGUCCUGUUAUGCUUACAGCAGCCAACACCUACCUCUGUGUUUGAUGGCAUCUGAAUAUAUGUAUGAGGCUUGUUUGAGGCUUCAUUUCUGUUGUUAUCUGGCUUAGUCAUCUAAUAGAUUUCAUUAAGGACAGGGGAUGUCACAGCUACAUUUUGAACCUCCUUCCUGUCAACAUUUACAGCAUAACAGGUGGUAUUUAAGGGAAUUAGUCUCAAGGCAUGAAGUUGGUCAAAAUAAACACCUUCUGGUCUA